rnacentral:lncRNA from 1 species
GCCGAGUUGUAUUUUGCUAGAUAGGGGAAGGAGGGUUGUCUGCUGUCUGGUAGGAGGGCUUUGUCUGUGUGCGCCUUUCUCUCUCUCCCUCUCUCGCUCUCCCUGUCUCUCGCACUCUCGCUCGCUCUCGCUCGCUCUCUCUCGCUCGCUCUCCCUUUCCCGUCUCUGUGGUUUGUAAGGUAGGUUGCAGUGUGUGUAUAUACACAACAUCAAGAGCAGGAAAAUGGACUCAUUAGGGAGGCAGGCAGUCAUUACCACUCACACUGUACUUCCAGGGAGACAGCGACUAUGAGGAGACAAACUGAGGACUGGGGAACAAGCAGCAUAAGAAAGAAGUGUUGAGAGCUGCUCUUAACCCUUUUGGAGGCCAAAGUCAAAAGGGAACUAGAGGGCUUGACGCAUCCUUUACAUCCUGCAUUUACUCUGACCACAGUCCCUCCCUGUUCUCACGAGCGGAGCUCAGCCCUGCUUCCCUUCCUGUUGAUUCCCAGUCAGCUACAUGAC